AAGCUGUUUGUUUGUCUCAGGUUGGUUUCAUUCAUAAAAUCAAAUCCAAGGAGCUGGCAGCAUUUUAAAAUUUGAAUCACGUGCAGCGUCUCGCUAUUUGCUAUGGAAGUUGAUAGCAUCUCGAGGAAAAAAAGACGAGCAAGAAAUGAGGAAUCAUAAAUGAAACAGAAUUUGAGAUACAAAUUAAGAGAAACACACGAAAAAGUGGCCACAAAAGGUGAAAUUCAGAGCGCGUGCUGGGACAAGAUUGGAAUCAUCUCCAACGUAUCGUUCACCCAGCUCUCGCCCAGACUUGUUAAUUGUCGCGCACUCAAAUUGUUCGAAAGGGUGUGAGAGAUCCCAGGAGUUGCCUGAUGCUGAUGGCUUCAUUCAUAAGAAACGCCUUUUCGGGCAGGUAGACAAGGUAAUCAAAUCAACAAACACACAGAGUUAAAUCAGUCCGUUGAUGAUCUUCAGUGGCAGCGGAAAUCGUAUAUUGAGGAAAUCCCUAUCAAUAGACGCUAUCAAAGAAGAAUUCCUCAGAAAACGGAUAUUCGAAGGAACAAAAACGAUGCAGAGUGAAAGUCUUUCUAGUUUUUUUUUUUUAAGGCAAAUAACUUAGUUCGUUAUCUUAAAAUUAUGGCUAUAUUUCAUUGUUGAAUAUUCUUAAACCAAGCACAAACUAGCCCUGGAUAAAAUAUCAAACAAAUGACCAGGUUAUAGCUAAGAUUAGAGAAAAUCUUGGCUUAGCUCACUUUUUAUAAGAAAAUUUUGCACAGCAAUUCCAAUAAUAAUGCCAAAUAAAUACAAUAUCAAGCA